GGAUUAGAUACCCUGGUAGUCCACGCCGUAAACGAUGAUAACUAGUUGUUGGGAGGCUUAGACCUCUUUGUGACGAAGCUAACGCGAUAAGUUAUCCGCCUGGGGAGUACGGUCGCAAGACUAAAACUCAAAGGAAUUGACGGGGACCCGCACAAGUGGUGGAGCAUGUCGUUUAAUUCGAUACUACGCGAAAAACCUUACCAAGGCUUGACAUCCUGGUCGUACUCUCCCGAAAAGGAGAGGUCAUUUAGUUGGACCAGUGACAGGUGUUGCAUGGCUGUCGUCAGCUCGUGCCG
rnacentral:rRNA from 1 species